GAUAGUACCUUACUACUUGGAUAACCGUGGUAAUUCUAGAGCUAAUACAUGCUAAAAACCUCGACUUCGGGAGGGGUGUAUUUAUUAGAUAAAAAACCAAUGCCCUUCGGGGCUCUUUGGUGAUUCAUGAUAACUUCUCAGAUCGCAUGGCCUUGCGCCGGCGACGGUUCAUUCAAAUUUCUGCCCUAUCAACUUUCGAUGGUAAGGUAUUGGCUUACCAUGGUUUCAACGGGUAACGGGGAAUUAGGGUUCGAUUCCGGAGAGGGAGCCUGAGAAACGGCUACCACAUCCAAGGAAGGCAGCAGGCGCGCAAAUUACCCAAUCCCGACACGGGGAGGUAGUGACAAUAAAUACUGAUACAGGGCUCUUUUGGGUCUUGUAAUUGGAAUGAGUACAAUUUAAACCUCUUAACGAGGAACAAUUGGAGGGCAAGUCUGGUGCCAGCAGCCGCGGUAAUUCCAGCUCCAAUAGCGUAUAUUAAAGUUGUUGCAGUUAAAAAGCUCGUAGUUGAACCUUUGGCCUGGCUGGCAGGUCCGCCUCACCGCGUGCACUUGUCCGGCCGGGCCUUCUCUUCUGGAGAACCGCAUGCCCUUCACUGGGUGUGUUGGGGACCAGGACUUUUACUUUGAAAAAAUUAGAGUGUUCAAAGCAGGCCUUUGCUCGAAUACGUUAGCAUGGAAUAAUAGAAUAGGACGUGCGGUCCUAUUUUGUUGGUUUCUAGGACCGCCGUAAUGAUUAAUAGGGACAGUCGGGGGCAUCAGUAUUCAAUUGUCAGAGGUGAAAUUCUUGGAUUUAUUGAAGACUAACUACUGCGAAAGCAUUUGCCAAGGAUGUUUUCAUUAAUCAGUGAACGAAAGUUAGGGGAUCGAAGACGAUCAGAUACCGUCGUAGUCUUAACCAUAAACUAUG
rnacentral:rRNA from 1 species